AUCCCGUGCUUGUGCUCCUGUGACGCAAGAUGUCGCACAACGCGCUUUACACUACCCCUCGUGCGGUACCGUACUGCACCCUGGCCAUCGCCAACGCCUUCAAGGACCUGACCCCGAAGCAGCGUCACUACGCCCAUCACAUGAUGGCGGCGGGGUGGUGCGGCGCCCCGGUGGUGGCUGAGCAGGUGAGUCCCGAGUCACUGCCGCUCCUGCGUUUCUUCUUCCAGGUGCUCAGUGCGCAGCCGCUGGACACCUUCAAGGCGAACAGCGUCAACGCCGGCGUCGACCCCGAUGAGGUGAACCAGUUCCUGGAAUACUUCGCGAUGGUCUACUCGAACAUGGGCAACUACCUCUCCUUCGGCGACACCAAGUUCGUCCCAUCGAUUCCGAAGGAACGCUUUGCGAAGAUCGUGGCGAGCGCGGAGGGGUCUCCGGCGGUGGAUGCGCAGCUGCUGGACGCCAUCUACAACCUGGACGACGACAAGCUGACGCUGGACUUCCCUCCCAAAGGGCUUACGCGGUACUACAGCCCAAACGUCACCCGCGAAGACGCCGCUGUCGCGAACGACUUCCUGGCGUCGAAAAAGAUGGACGGCGUCAACACACGCGUGUUCAAGGAGGAAGACGGCACCCUCGUCAUCCGCGUCGCGGCGGCGACCGAGAGGACGGUGCCGGCGGAGAAGUUCAACGGACGCACCAUUGCAAUUUACUAUGGCGACUACAAGGAGGAGAUGGCCCGCGUCGUCGCGGAGCUGCGCAAGGCGCAGCCGUACGCGGAGAACGAGACGGAGGUGCGUAUGUUGAACCACUACAUCGAGCACUUCCAGUAUGGCGACGUGGACGUGCACAAGGAGAGCCAAAAGGAGUGGGUGAAGGAUGUGGGGCCGACGGUGGAGACGAACAUCGGCUUCAUCGAGUCGUACCGCGACCCCUCCGGCGUGCGUGCGGAGUGGGAAGGCUUCGUGGCGGUGGUGAACAAGGAGCAGUCGAAGAUGUACGGCGCACUGGUGGCACAGGGCGAGAAGUUCGUUGCUGAGCUGCCGUGGGGCAAGGCGUUCGAGAAGGACGUCUUCUCCAGCCCGGACUUCACCAGCCUUGACGUCCUGGGCUUCGCGAGCAGUGGCAUUCCGGCCGGCAUCAACAUCCCCAACUACGACGACAUUCGCCAGACCGUUGGCUUCAAGAACGUGUACCUGUCCAACGUGGUGAGCGCGAUGACCUUCAAGGACAAGCUCAACUACAUCACAGAGGCGGACUGGGAGCUGUACAAGGCGAGCAUUCUCACCGCGACCUCGGUGAACGUCGGCAUUCACGAGCUGCUGGGCCACGGCACAGGCAAGCUGCUGUCGGAGAACAGCGACGGCACCUUCAAUUUUGACGAGAAAACGGUGGACCCAAUCAGCGGCAAGCCCGUUGCCACGUGGUACAAGCCCGGCGACACGUAUUCGAGCGUGUUUGGCGGUCUUGGCAGCUCGUACGAGGAAUGCCGCGCUGAGGCGGUAUCGCUGUACCUCUGCUUGCUGCCAGACCUGCUGGAGAUCUUCAACCUCCAGACAACGAAAGAGCAGCAGGACGUCAUCUAUGUCUGCUGGCUGAACAUGGUGCGCGCCGGCCUGGUCGGGCUCGAGUUCUACACCCCGGAGAAGCAGCAGUGGCGCCAGGCUCACAUGCGGGCACGUUUCUGCAUUCUCCAGGCGCUGGCGCGUGCACCGAACCCGAUUGUGCAGAUCACCGAGAACGCCAAGGAGGGCGUCCUCAUCACACUCGACCGCGAGCGCAUCGCCACAGACGGGCGCCAGGCGAUUGGGGACCUGCUCGUGAACCUCAAUGUUAACAAGGCGACGGCCGACGCGAAGCGCGGCAGCGCCUACUUUGAGAACAUGACGGUCGUGAGCGACCAGUACGUGCACUACCGCGACAUCAUCAUGGCGCGCCGCAAGCCGCGCAAGCAGUACGUCCAGCCGCACACCUUCAUCAGCGGGGAUACGGUGGAGGUGCGGGAGUUUGCCGGAUCGGUAGAAGGGGUCGUGGAAUCCUUCGUUACCCGGCACCGCGAGAUCCCGCUGUAGGAGCGUCCUCCCGCAUCAAGCAAUCGGGGACGGAAAAGUAGUGGAAACAUACACCCAUGCGCACCCACAGACUACAUUUAUAUAUACAUAGCCGUUUGCUGGCAUGCUUUAUGUUUCUCUUGGGCUAUGAUGGUACGAUGGUAAAUGCAUGCAUCCACUACCACGUCUCCCUCCACCCUCGCUCCCUCAUACGCACACGUAAAAGCAAGGCGCACCCACGCACCUUAUCGUUUCCUUUGUGUUUGGUGGAACGCCUCCUUCGUUUGCGCACUACCAUGAAUCUAUCUCGCGGUGUCACUGUUGAUGUGGAGAGGUUGCUGUGAGCGUGCGCGCGCGUCCUCUCUCCGUCUCGCGUUUGUGUUGCUGCUGUUUUGUCAUGGUGCGCUGAAACAGGUGUGGUAACACUCACGCGAGAUGAGAGGAAUGCACAGAGGUGCACGCACACACGUGUACGCGGGCUAAUG
rnacentral:misc_RNA from 1 species